CGUACGCCAGGGGAGUCAGCCGGCCGAGAAGGUCCAUUUUUCAAACCACACAAUGUCCCUAAUCGGCCGGCUGACUCCCCUAGCGUUAU
rnacentral:pre_miRNA from 1 species